GGAAGGGGGAGGCUGGCUUAGCAUCCGCUGCGCUGAAGCCUGAGGAACUGUUCGGAGCCGGCUGGGGUGGUCGCGGUAGGCUCCCCGGAGGCGGCGGCAUCCAGUUGUUCUCCCUACAGGAAGUCCCAGCAAGAGUAGUGUGGCCCUUUCUUCAGAGCCUCUCUGGACGCACUCUCCUAGCAUCCUCCAGGAAAGAUGCGGCAGCUCAAAGGGAAGCCCAAGAAGGAGACGUCCAAGGACAAGAAGGAGCGGAAGCAGGCCAUGCAGGAGGCCCGGCAGCAGAUCACCACGGUGGUGCUGCCUACGCUGGCUGUGGUCGUGCUGCUCAUCGUGGUGUUUGUGUACGUGGCCACGCGCCCCACGACCACCGAGUGAGCCACCGGCCAGGGGACUUGCCUGCAGGGAGGGGGGAAGCAACAGGAAACAAAUGGCGCUGGUAUUCAGGGGUUUUCAAGAUGCUGGGCUCUAAGCAGGAGCUCCCUGUCUUCUCUGGUCUUUGACUUGAUUAAAGUUUCUCUACUUUUCUUGGGAGGGAAGAGGAAACCUUUUAUCAGUGAACGUGCCAUUCACCUUAGGGUCCAGUCCAUGUGCCUUUCAGACUUCAGAGCAGCGUGUGUGUCUGUUUCUCUCCAGAAAUUGCUUUGUAGCUCCACCUGGCGGGUGGGGGAGUCUCUGGGUCAGGAGUCAGCUAGAAUCAGUGCUUACCCAUCCCUGUUGUUUUGAACAUGAUCCUUUCCUGCACUUGUCCACAAUUUCCAAAGGGCCUGUGUUUCUUCUCUGUGCUUAAUGUGAUUUGAAAUACGUCAACUCGAAAGUGAAAUAUUUAUUUUUGGAAUAAAGGAGAUAAUAGCCUUCAACAGGUUGUUUAUCUUGUUUUGUCAGGAGGCGGUCUUGCUCCGUGGGGCACCCCUGAAGCUCAGGGAGGCGAGUGGCUUUCUUCCCUCCACUUCCCUCUCCCCUCAGCUACUUCACUCCUGGCUGUUAAUCACUUCCAGUACAAUUACACUUUUUGACUGGAUCAUUUUAAGAUUGAGAGAAUCUUGAGAGGGGCAGAAAGAAUAUUUGAAUUGGAUUGUUUUAGCAAGAAAAAAAAAAAAAAGUUCUGAUUGAAAUGGGACCGCCAGUGGUUUUUAUAUCAGUUAGCUUUUUCUGGUUAAAUACUGUAUUUGCAAACAGCUACACAAAAGGGGCCCUGGAAGUAAAAGUCUGGCUUCCCUCUGUGCUCAGCUAAAAGGAUGUAAAUUGCUGGCCAUCCUGUUGAGUUUUCCGUGCAAAGUGGCCAUUCUACAGGCAUGGUUAGAGAGGGCCUGGCGCCUGCCCUGACACCUUUAUGACUUCUGCUGGCUGUUGCGGGUUUUCCCCCCUUGUUGAAACUCAGAUUUCUUGUUAAGGGUUCCGAGUGUGUCUGUUCUCCUGUCAUGGCUGAUUACUGAGAGAUUUGUGGGAAGAGAGGUGCUUCUCUAAUCUCUGUGGCUGCAUGAUGCCUUCACUGAUGGCACAGGCUGUUACUGGGGAUUUGGGGCCUCUCGGAGGGAAUCUCUGAGGAGGAGAAGCAGCUGUUGGAAGGAGGGACUCCAGCCAAUGCGCAGAGAUCCUGGGAACAGCAGGGCUGACAGAGCUCUGCGGGCCAUGCCGUGAGAUCUUGUCUCAGAGGGAGACACGCCACCUCUUCGGCUUGCUCAAGUGCCAGUGGCUCUGGAAAGAGAUUUACGAGAAUAUGUAUCAAGUGCAGAGGCUGCUAGAGUAAAGUGCCUUUUGGGUUUCUGUUUUCCUCCCCUUUGUUUGGCUGUGUUGUACAAGCCACAGUGCUUGUGGGUCUGGGAACCAUCGAAGGCCACUGGUCCAAGGAGCCGCUUGAUCAGGGUGGGAGGUAGAGAGGGGCUUCUCCUGCCAUCCCACACGUUACAGUGGCCACUGGACUGCCGAAAUGCCGAGUUCUUCCCACUUCUGCCCCAGGAGUGGAGGCUGUGAAGGUAGAGCAAGUAGAGCCUGUCCAUCCCCGCUCUUCACACUGGCCCCUCGGCUGCUGGAGAGCUCCCCUCUUCCAGGGUGGACGCCAGAGGACAGUGUGAGGACAGCCUGGCCAGUCUAGUAGAAAGAGCUGGGUUUGUGUGUUUUGUAAUUGCCGAAUCUGCAUUUAGCUCUCAGCCUACCGCAGAGAAUUGUGGAUCGCUUGACUCCACUGAGCCUCAGUUUCCCACAUCUGUAAAUGAACCCUAAAGUCACUUUUAGGGAAUUGGGCCAUCUAGUAGAAAACAAGGCUUGGAGAGCAAACCUGGGUUUCUUCUUCUUUUUUUUUUAAUCAUUCUUUUUGUGUGUGCGCUUUAAGUGAAAGUUUACAAAUCAAGUCAGGCUCUCAUACAAAAAUUUAUUUACACCUUGCUAUGUGUACUCCUAAGUUGUUCUCCCCCUAAUGAGACAGCACACUCCUUCUCUGCACCCUGAAUUUCCUGUGUCCAUUCAGGCAGCUUCUGUCCUCCUCUGCCUUCUCAUCUCCAGAUAGGAGCUGCCCACAUAGUCUCAUGUGUCCGCUUGAGCCAAGAAGCUCACUCCUCACCAGUAUCAGUUUUUAUCUUAUAGUCCAGUCCAAUCCCUGUCUGAAGAGUUGGCUUUGGGAAUAGUUCCAGCCUUGGGCUAACAGAAGGUCUGGGCACCACAGUCUCUGGGGUCCUUCUAGUCUCAGUCAGACCAUUUAGUCUGGUCCAAAUCUGAGUUUUAAUGCAGUUUUGUCUCUGGAACCCCUGAGAGUCCAUUUCAUCAUGUUAAAAAUGGAAGUUUUGUUGCCUUGUAGGAUUGCUGAAAGGAGUGAAUUGAAACAGUGUAUUUAUAAAGGACAAAUCCAGUGCCUGGGACAUAAUAGUUAGGCUAUAGAUAAUAGUAGUAGUUCAGUACUUUACAUAUAUUACCUCAUUUAUUUCUCACACAACCCUGUGAGGUAGGUACUAUUAGUACCCAGUUUUAUAGGUGAGGAAACUGAGGCAGGCCAAAAACUUGUCCAAAGUCACACAACCAGUAAGUGGAGGAGCCCAGAUUUAUUUAUGUUUAACCUUUUGUUAUGGAACAUUUCAAACAUACAUAAAAGUAGAAUAAUAUAAUAUUCCUCGUGUACCCAUUGGCCAACUUUAGCAAACCCCAACCCGUGGCCAUUCUUGCCCGUUUGUCUAUAUUGCCUCCAACACCCAAACACGUACACCUGUGCAUUGGAUUGUUUUAAAGGAAAAUAGGAGGUGGGAUUUAAACCUUGACAGUGUGAAUUCAGAGCCCAUGCUCUUUGUCAUUACAACCUACUGCCUUUCGAUAAUUUCCUUCUUGCCGCUCUCCUGGUCUAAAGAAACCUUUACUGCCCAGGUGUGUUUGAACAAAGGCCUUACAUGGUAGCAGUUAUGGUGAACAACCUUAGACUAUUUAGAGGAUAGGCUAUGAAUUUAGCCCUCCCUACUGGACAUCCUAACACACUGCUGAAUCCCUGAUCUGUUGCUCAGGGGAAGAGGAGAAAUAUUUAUUCCAGGGGUUCCUUAUUGAGAACAUUUCGGCAUUCUUGCUUAGGAGAUCUUGGGUAUUGUGUUGUGAAAAGAGCAUCAGCUUGGGGAAGCAGAGACCUAUGUGAAUAUUCACUCGGCUACUUGCUAACAACUGACCUGAGUCAAGUCGCAGGAUCCCUGAGCUGCAGCUGCCCUGCAUCUAUCAAGUGAGGUCAGUUUUACUAUCUAGAGGAUGUUGCUGGCAGUAUAAAUUGAAAUUGAAAAAGGGCAUAAUGUUGUGCCUUGUACAAUGAAGAUGCUCAAUAAAUGGCCAUUCCCUUCCUCCUUGCUGAUGCGUUCAGAACCUCACAGAGCUAUACAAGAUGAGGGAAACAUUUGCACGAGGUCAAAGAUGAGAAGGCAGGAAGAGGUAGACAAAAGGAAACUGGAAACCUAGGAUGGGAAUGAGGGGAGUGCUAGUAGAUUGUAGUGAAUGAAACCAAUGUCAUGGAAUAUGUACAAACUAUCAAACGGGAAAUGAAUUUCCUCUGUAAACUUUCACUGAACGCACAAUAAAAAAAAUUAAAACAAAAACCUCACAGAACACACUGCUGAGGUUCACCCUUCAGCCAAAGAUUAGACAGGCCCAUAAAACAAAACGAGACUCAAGGGCACACCAGCCCAUGGGCAGGGACUAGAAGGCAGGAGGGGACAGGAAAGCUGGUAAUAGGGAGCCCAAGGUCAAGAAGGGAGAGUGUUGACAUAUCAUGGGGUUGGUAACCAAUGUCAUAAAACAAUAUGUGUAUUAACUUUAAUGAGAAGCUAGUUCUGUAAACCUUCACCUAAAGUGCAAUAAUAAAAAAACCUCACAGAACAUAAAUCAAGACCUGCCUCCCAAGGCUUUAGUUGCCAGACUGAUAAACAACAUCACACUCUGUAUAAGAGAUCCUCUAAGUACUUCUGGCUCUUAUUUUUACCUACUGUUUCCCUCUUUGUUGUCUGUCAGGAGGCUUAGUGGAUUUGAACUGGAUUCUCAGGAGAAGGCAGUUAGUGGUCAGGUUUGGUGAAGGCAGGCUGACAAUGAACUUUUAAAAGUUAGUACAACUACAGCUCAGCCAGGAGGAGAAAUGAAGUCUUGAUACAGCUACAGUAUGGAUGGAACUGGAAGACAAUAUGCUGAGCAAAAUAAGCCAGUCACAAAAGGACGGAUAUUGUAUGACUUCACUUAUACAAAAAGACAAGAAAAGGCAAACGUAUAGAGACCAAAGUUUAUUAGUGGUUACCGGGGUGAGGGGGAAGGAGGUUAACAGUGAUGGAAAAAUCACAUUGAUUAAGGGUAGGGUUGCACAGCUGAUUGUUCUAAUUACUGUCCAUAAGUUGUACACCUGUAAAAAGUUCAAUUGGCAAAACUUAUAUGAUAGUUACAUUUACAACAACAUCCAAAAAAAAAAAAGAGUAGCUGCCAAGGCUGCUUAUGUACAACUAAACACCUCAUGGAAUUCGGUUCCUUGGUUUGGAGGGUCAUGGUUUCAUGGGACAUCCCAGUUAACUGGCCUUAAAAAAAAAGUUAACACAACUUUGAUGUGAACCACCUCCUGGCAGGGAGGAGAUGCCAGUUUACUAUGGACUUGCUAGGUAGAAUUAUAACAAUUCUCCAGGUAAAUAGCACUUUCUGUCGGUGUACUGGGUAAUGAUUUGAGAAGCCAGCUUCCAAACCAUUCCCAGUUAUUCAGUGGCUUCAAGACAACACUGAAUGAUUAGGAGUUUCAAUAGGUCAUGCUGGGGUUUCUGCAGUAAGGUCUGGGACUCAUGGCUUCCAGAGUCCUCAUUACCUAGCCUAGCAUUUCCUGAAGAACAAAAUCCAAAAGGGGAAUCAAAUUAGAAACAAAUAGAAACCAUUGACAUUGGUUUAAAAGGUGUCACUUGAUGUAUUUUAACAAAUGUUACCAAGAUGUGUUUGUACCAGCCCUUUUUCUAGUCAACAAAAAUGUUGGUGAUCCAUCAUUGCAGCCUAGGGGUGUGAGACUCAGAGCGAAGAUUCCAGAUCCAAUUUCAUCACUCAUGAGAAUAUGACAUUGGCCAGGCCCCUCCUGUAAAAUGGGCAUGUCAGGCCAUAGAGUCUGGUAAGAGCCCUUUUAUCCCAGAGGUUCUGUGAUUAAUGUAGCAUUAACAAAGCACCUACAUGAAUGAACAGAUUUCCUUAGAGCUCCUGGGAACAGGUCUGAGAAUUAAAGCCGCACAAGGAGUCCAAAACUCCCGUUGUGAUCUGCUCAGGUCCAUGAAUUUAGUGGCUGCUACUGUCUAUGAGUCUCAACCUUUAAAGGCUAAGUUCAGUGUGUUUGGUUCUGAAGCUGCCAACUGUAAUUCCUUCCUGGUCAGUUCAAAGAUGGAAGAGCAACUUCUUCCUUCAUGUACCCUUUGUAAGGUAAUGGGAAGGAAACCUGCAGCCAGACUUGGACUUAACAUCUGUAUGGCCUGGAGUCAGUCGUUAACCUCCUUGACGUCCUUUCCACAUCUGUAAAUUGGAGAAGAUGCUAACACCUGCCUCCAGGGUUGUUAGGAAGUUUAAAGAGAUGAUUGUCCUUCCCUCUUCCCCAAAAGUAUCUCACAUCAUUGUUUACUUAUUUGCUAGAGGUAGAAAUAUAAGGAUUUUUUUUUUUUUAAUUUUUAUUGUGCUUUAAGUGAAAGUUUACAAAUCAAGUCAGUCUCUCACACAAAAACUUAUAUACACCUUGCUACAUACUCCCAAUUAUUCUCCCCCUAAUCAGACAGCCCGCUCUCUCCCUCCACUCUCUCUUUUCGUGUCCAUUUCGCCAGCUUCUAACCCCCCUACCGUCUCAUUUCCCCUCCAGGCAGGAGGUGCCAACAUAGUCUCAAGUGUCCACCUGAUCCAAGAAGCUCCCUCCUCACCAGCAUCCCUCUCCAACCCAUUGUCCAGUCCAAUCCUUGUCUGAAGAGUUGGCUUGGGAAUGGUUUGUGUCCUGGGCCAAAAAUACAAGGAGUUUUUAUGAAAUUGUGGCUUUUUCUUUUUGAAAGCCUUGUUGGUAACUGAUGUCAAGUAGCCCCGACUCCUGGCAACCCUAAGCACAAUGCAAAGAAAUGCUGCCCAGUCCAGCAUCAUCCUCAUAAUAGGUUGGAGAUCGAACCAGGGUUUUCGUUGGCUGAUUUUUGGAAGUCAGGCAUCAGACCUUUCUUCCUAGUCUAUUUUAGUCUGAAAACUCCACUGAAACCUGUUGACCAUAGCAACAGGCAAACCUUCACUGGUACAUGGGUGGUGGCUGCUGGGAAUUGAACCCAGGUCUCCCACAUGGACAAGAAUUCUACCACUGAACCACCACGCCCACCCUGCGUGUGUGUGCGUGUGCAUGCGCGUGAUCUCCUUCAUAGCUCUGCCUCAAAAAUAUUCUACCUAGUGUAUCUCCUGAAAUGUUUGCCUUACUUUGAACGCAAGUUCUUUUUUCAGGAACCGUGUCUAAUUCUGUGUUCUGCACACUAUUUGGCACAGGCAGUUGCUUACACAUUAAAAAUCAGACACAGAAUCUUUGGAUCAAGGAAAUGUGUGAGGUGGUAGGUGCCACCGAGUUGGUUCUGACUCACAGGGACUGUACAAAAGAAUGAAACACUGCCUGGUCCUGUGCCUUCCUCACAGAUGUUGCUGUUUGAGUCUACUGCUGCAGCCACUGUGUCAAUCCAUCUCAUUGAGGGUCUUCCACUUUUUUGCUAACCCUUUACCUUACCAAGCAUGAUUUCCUUCACCAGGGACUAGUGCAGCCUGAUAACAUAUCCAAAGUAUGUGAGACAAAGUCUCUCCAUCCUUGCUUUCAAGGAUCACUCUGGCUGUACUUUUUCCAAGACAGAUUUAUUCGUUCUUCUGGCAGUCCAUGGUAUAUUCAAUAUUCUUUGCCAACACCAAUUGGCAUCAAUUUUUCAGUAUUCCUUAUUCAUUGUCCAGCUUUUGCAUGCAUAUGAGGUGACUGAAAAUAUCAUGGCUUGGGUCAGGCACACCUUAGUCCUCAAAGUGACAUCUUGGCUUUUUAACACUUUGAAGAGGUCUUUCAUAGCAGAUUUGCCCAAUGCAAUAUGUCAUUUGAUUUCUUGAUGGCUGCUUCCAUGGGUGUUGAUUGUGGAUCCAAGUAAAAUGAAAUCUUUGGCAACUUGAAUGUUUUCUCCAUUUAUCAUGAUUUAUUGGUCCAUUUGUGAGGAUUUUUGUUUUCUUUAUGUUAAGGUGUAAUUCAUACUGAAGGCUAUAUAGUCUUUGAUUUUUGUCAGUAAGUGCUUCAAGUCCUCUUUCAGCCAGCAAGGUUGUGUCAUCUGCAUAUUGCAGGUUGUUAACAAGUCUUCCUCCAAUCCCAAUGCUGCAUUCUUCUUCAUAUAGUCCAGCUUCUUGGAUUAUUUGCUCAGCAUACAGAUCGAAUAAGUGUAGUGAAAGGAAACAACCCUGACACACACCUUUCCUGGUUUUAAAUCACUCAGUAUCCCCUUGUUCUGUUCGAACGACUGCCUCUUGGUCUAUGUACAGGCUCCUCAUGAGCACAAUUAAGUAUCAUGGAGUUCCUGUUCUUCACAGUGUAUGAAUAGCUUCCUCUAAAUCCUCCUGGGAUAUCUAUAUUAGAAUAUAGAAAAGGGUUUGCACAGCCUCUAUAUCCUUGUCCCACUUUCCCUCACGUUUCAAAGAUCAAGCAGAACAAUUAAUUGUGCACAUCAAGUUUGCCUCACCCACUCUAUUAGGCCCUAAUUUUUUCUAACGGGUCUUUGUGCAAUUCAGUAGGCAGUUUGUCCUAUUGUGAGUUUUUUUCUCAUUACUCCACAAGGCGAAUGUCUGACUUUAGUGUAUUUCAGUGGGUCAUCUGUGCUGUCUACCCACCUGCCAGUUCUUUGGAAAGAAGCCAGUCUUUUCAAAAAGGUUUUAAUCCCUUGAGCUGUUGGGUAAUAACUUAAGGAAUGUAGACCAGAGGAAGCAUGUGGAUGCUCAGUAAUGUCAUGGUUAAGGUCUCUCUCUCCUUCCUUUGGCAUUCACUUCCCCAGUGUUUCAUGAAGAUUGCCUGUCUUUGAACUCUCCUGGGAAGGAAACUUUGCCUGACCUUUGAAAUUUCCUUUUCUGAUUGAAACAAGGCGCAGCUGGCCAUAUACUGAUUCCCUCAGCUCUUUCAGAAAGCAUAUUAAGCCUUUGAGGAUCAGACCUAACUCCCAAGGCAUCAAUUCGUUUGAUUGGAAUAAAUUAAGAAAACCCAUUAUGAAUUACAUUUGCAGGCUUCUCCACCUUGGAAUACCUCUGCCUCUAACUGCAUUACUGGCCCCAGUGGUCUACCCUUCCAUUCCAUUCACCCAGAUUCCCCAGAGACAUUGAAAUUCCUACCUCACACAGUACUCACAGAUUGGAUUUUUAAAGAUGUCGCAAUAGCUACAAAAGACUUUUAAAACAAGAGUGUAAGAUUAAACAUUUUAAACGAUGGAAAAAGACAAGGCAGCCAAAUAUGAACAAAAACCACGGCAGCAAUUUUAACACCUGGAAAACAAGUUUAAGUGAAAAUGCCAUAAGGGGCAAAAAAUGGCACAUACUAGUAUUAGAAUAAAAAAUAUACUAUGAUCAUGAAUAUGUUGCUAACAAUACCCCUUCAAAAUAUAUACAGCAACUGACUAUGGACAGAACUAUGUGAAGAAAUAGGUCAAUAAUUUCAACUGGAGAUUUAAAGACAUACUCUUCAGAAAUGGAUAGAUAAAGCAGCCAAAAGGAGCAAAGAUGUAGAAGACUUGAAUAAUAAAAUAAGCUUGAUCUAAUAGAUAAUGUAGAACUUUUCACUCAACGGACAGUACACAUUUUUUAAGAAUGCACAUGGAACAUUUACAAAAAUCAACCAUAUAAUAUCCCAUAAAGAAAGCUUCAGUAAAUCUCCCCAUCAAUUAUAAUGAAAUAAAAAACACAGGGGCAGCUUUUCAAAAUCUUGUAAAUCUGGAUACCAAAAGUCUUAGUCAAUAACCUUGGGUUAAAGAGGAUAUCAUAAGGGAAAUUACAAAAUGCUUAGAACUGAAAGAUAAUGAAAGCGUUACACGCCUACAUUUAUGGGACAUAGCUAAAACAGAACUUAUAAUUUUAUAAGUUAUAAUAGAACAUUGAAAACAAAUGAACUAAAUUCAGUUUAUAAAGUCAGAAAAUAAUAACAGAGUAAACCCACAGAUUAUAAGAAGAAAGCAAACUAAUAAGUAAAUAAAUUUAGGAACAAUAGUAGAAGUAGAGAAGACUAAUAAAACCUUAAUCUCAUUUUUUGAAAGACUAAAAAAUUAGAUCUCUUACAAAACUGAAAAAGCAACAUAGAAGAUACAAAUACAGAAUAAAAAACAAAUAUACUUUUUAAAAAAUGAUAGUUAAUGUUUUCUAAAGUUACUACAUUUGAAAAAUUAGGUGAAAUGGAAACAUUUCUGGAAAAUAUAAAAAAGCCAAAAUCGGCUCAAAAAGAAAUAGAAACUUGGAUAGACUGAUCAUCAAGAUAGACAUUUAAGAAGCCCUCCCCCAGUUAAGCCACAGGAACAGAUGGUUUUAUAAGUGAGUUCGAACAAUUUAUCCCAGAAAUGAGAGGAAAGCUGCCCAAUUCAUUCUAUUAUGCUAGUAUGACCUGGAUUCCCUGGACAGUGGGUGGACUCCACGAGCUGGAGUUGACUUGAGGGCAACUGGUUUCGAGUCCCUGGGUGGUGCAAACUUGACUGCUAAAGGAAAGCUUGGAGGUUUGAGUCCACCCAGAGGUGCCUUGGAAGAAAAUCCUGACAAUCUACUUCCAAAAAAUUAGUCAUUGAAAACCCUAUGGAGUACAAUUCCACUCUGAUACAUAUGAGUUCUCCAUGAGUGGAUGGCAACUGGUCUGUUGGCUAGGGAGAAGUAAAAUCUGACAAAAUCAUGCAUACCUUAUGUAGAAGGAAAUUCAAUGUGAACCAGAGAAAAUUGCUGUUAGCCAGUAUCAUGGCCCUGACCUGUAAUUGACAUGAACUUCCUUUAAAUAGAUGGUCACGGAAGGUCCUACCUUAUUCAAAAUAACUGGCACAGAAUCUAUAUAAAGACACUACAAGGGAAAAAAAAAGGUGGAAAAAGAACUGUAGAAACAAGUGUCAGGGUAUCUCUGUCCAUAACUAAGUAACAAGUGUUGCAUUUACCCUCGACUGUAAACAAUUAUAAAAUUGGACAAAACACAUGAAGCAACUGGUUUAAGGCAUGGGACAACAGACAGCACAGGGCUAUGAUCCUUAAGAGAAGCACUUGAGGUGAGCUCCAUGCGCAUCUGGCUUUCUGCCUGGGAGCACUUUACAAACUGAAGCCCAGGAAAGUAUGCCUAGAGAGUAGACAUAGAAAUUGGAGGUCAGGGCUGCAGCUGGAGUUUGUGGCAUAGGGAGGCAGGGAAGAGACAGCCCAGCAGAAAAGGACUCCUAGAAAUCUGCAUAGACAGCCCAUUGAGUUUUGACCCAACACCAAACUGUACCUGCGCAGAGUGAAAUUCUGCAAGGCCUGGCAGAGAACGGCUGGCUACUGGGGGCUGUGAACUGAAUGAAGAUCCAGAGCUGCACAGUGCUCGGAGACAUUGAGUUCUGACCAGUCAGAGUACCAGAAACAUUUACAAAAAUGGCCAAUAUCAGGCAACAACAACAAAAAGUCAAUGUAUUCCCCAAAGCAGGAAUAGUCACUCAACAUUCUCUGAUCAUAAUGAAAUAAAAGUAGAAACUUCAAAGAACGCCACCACCAACAAAACACUCAGAAAACAAAAACCCUUCUACCUGGACAUUAGAAAAAAAAAAAAAAUUUUUUUUUUUUUUUUUGGACAUUAGCACCUCUCAAAUAAAUUUUGAGAUAACAAGGAAAAAAUUUACAUAGUGAUAUAUUUUCUAGAUUGAUCUAUCUACUAUCAUCUACCUACCUAUCUACUUAAAAUAUACUACUAUAAAUUACAUUAAAGCAGUGCUCAGAGGAAAUUUCAUGGCCUUAAAUAUACCAAUAAACAUGAAAAAAUGAAAUUAGCUUAAGGAACAUCUACUUAAGAAAUUAGAAAAAGGAAAAUAAAAACCCAAGGAAAAGUCUUCUCUCCCUUUCUCUGCCCUUGUAGUGUCUGUGGUCAACUUCCAUCCUUGCCAUGUCUUCUCACAAGACUUUAAGGAUCAAGAGAUUCCUGGUACAACUCCCAAGAGGAGACACUGGAGAAGAACCAAGCUGGGUCUAAAGUUGUCACACAUGUGAUGGCACACAUAUUUGCCCUCUAUUGACUAGCACCUGACCAUAUCAAUCUGUAAAUUUUGCCACUAUCUGAACAUUGUUGCUGUUAGAAUCGUCUAGUCAAUUCUGACUCACAGUGACCCUAUAAGACAGAGUAGAACUGCCCCCAAACUGUAAUCUAUACAUGAACAAAUUGCCAGGUCUUUUCCCCUGUGGAGCGGCUGGUAGGUUUGAGCUGCCAACCUUUUGGUUAGCAGCCAAGCACUUAACCACAUGCCACCAGAGCUUUGUUUUAUUGGAAAAAUUCGUAUUUUUUCUUCUGUUUUUAUGCUCCCACAUUAAUGGCUUGACUCACUAAUAAAUAUGUAAGACCUUUUGUUUGGGGAAAAAAAACAAGGAGAGCAGAUGAUUUAUAAAGUGGAAAGUUACUGAUUUAGAAAACAAAAAAUGCUAAUAUUAAUAAACAUAAGGGCUGGUUCUUUGAGGAAAAAAAUGGUAAAAGUAAUAACCUCUAGGUAAUUUAGGCUGGAAAAAAUGGAAAAAGCACUUUUAUAAAAAAAAAAAAAAACAGUAAGAAUGAGGAAAUA